rnacentral:rRNA from 1 species
AUUGAACGCUGGCGGCAGGCCUAACACAUGCAAGUCGAGCGAGCGGCGGACGGGUGAGUAAUGUAUGGGGACUGCCCGAUAGAGGGGGAUAACUACUGGAAACGGUGGCUAAUAACGCAUAAUGUCGGAUAACCCAUAUGGGAUUAACUAGUAGGUAAGGUAAUGGCUUAACGAGGCGACGAUACCUAGCUGGUCUGAGAGGAUGAUCAGCCACACUGUGACUGGGACACGGCCCAGACUCCUACGGAGGCAGCAGGUGGGAAUAUUGCACAAUGGGCGCAAGCAUGAGGCAGCCAUGCCGCGUGUAUGAAGAAGGCCUUAGGGUUGUAAAGUACUUUCAGUCGGGAGGCGUUACCGACAGAAGAAGCACCGGCUAACUCCGUGCCAGCCGCCGCGGUAAUUC